rnacentral:tRNA from 1 species
ACCUGGCUGGCUCAGUUGGAAGAGUGUGUGGCUCUUGAUCUCAGAGUUGUGAGUUUGAGCCCCACGUUGGGUG